rnacentral:rRNA from 1 species
GACGAACGCUGGCGGCGUGCCUAACACAUGCAAGUCAAGGAGAAUUCCCGACUUGUCGGGAUAGUAAACUGGCGAACGGGUGAGUAACACGUAGGUAAUCUACCCUCGGGAUCGGGAUAACCUCGCGAAAGUGGGGAUAAUACCGAAUAAAGUCUCGGUAUAAUUUGUCGAGAUGAAAGAAUGGGGAUCUUCGGACCUAUUACCUGAGGAUGAGCCUGCGCCUGAUUAGCUAGUUGGUAGGGUAAAUGCCUACCAAGGCAACGAUCAGUAGCUGGUCUGAGAGGAUGAUCAGCCACAUUCGGGACUGAGAUACGGCCCAGACUCCUACGGGAGGCAGCAGUGAGGAAUUUUGCGCAAUGGGCGAAAGCCUGACGCAGCAACGCCGCGUGACUGAUUAAGCUCUGAGGAGUGUAAAAGUCUGUCGUAGAGGAAGAAACUAUCCGAUAAGAAUAUUGUCGGAUACUGACGGUACUCUAAUGAGAAAGCUCCGGCUAA